UACGGGGGGGGCAAGCGUUGUUCGGAAUUACUGGGCGUAAAGGGCUCGUAGGUGGCCAACUAAGUCGGACGUGAAAUCCCUCAGCUUAACAGGGGAACUGCGUCCGAUACUGGAUGGCUUGAGUUUGGGAGAGGGAUGCGGAAUUCCAGGUGUAGCGGUGAAAUGCGUAGAUAUCUGGAGGAACACCGGUGGCGAAGGCGGCAUCCUGGACCAACACUGACACUGAGGAGCGAAAGCCAGGGGAGCAAACGGG
rnacentral:rRNA from 1 species